GAUGAACGCUGGCGGCGUGCCUAAUACAUGCAAGUCGAGCGAACGGACGAGAAGCUUGCUUCUCUGAUGUUAGCGGCGGACGGGUGAGUAACACGUGGAUAACCUACCUAUAAGACUGGGAUAACUUCGGGAAACCGGAGCUAAUACCGGAUAAUAUUUUGAACCGCAUGGUUCAAAAGUGAAAGACGUUCUUUCUGUCACUUAUAGAUGGAUCCGCGCUGCAUUAGCUAGUUGGUAAGGUAACGGCUUACCAAGGCAACGAUGCAUAGCCGACCUGAGAGGGUGAUCGGACACACUGGAACUGAGACACGGUCCAGACUCCUACGGGAGGCAGCAGUAGGGAAUCUUCCGCAAUGGGCGAAAGCAUGACGGAGCAACGCCGCGUGAGUGAUGAAGGUCUUCGGAUCGUAAAACUCUGUUAUUAGGGAAGAACAUAUGUGUAAGUAACUGUGCACAUCUUGACGGUACCUAAUCAGAAAGCCACGGCUAACUACGUG
rnacentral:rRNA from 1 species